rnacentral:lncRNA from 1 species
UUUUUUUUUUUUUUUUUGGAGCUACUAUGCCAUCCUCCCUCUGUGAGGCGGAGUGACUGUCAGUGUUUUGUUACACCAUGCCUUGAGCUGUGGGUGUGUCUGGCGACAAUAAGGUGGUUGAAUAGAUUGGCUGAGCACGCUUCCACCCACCUAGUGGUAUCAGAGGGGUUAUGUGAUUGUUUCAACCUGGAGUGGGUUGCACCCUUAAUGCUUUCCUCUACAACUAAACCGCCCACAUAUAUGUUCAUUGAAAAAAGUAAGAAUAAUUCUCAGCACUAACCCAGAAGUAGCAAAGCAGUCAGUGAUGGUGAACAUUAGAGGUCAAACAUGAGUUAGAUGUUUGUGGGCUGACAGCCACCGUGGCUAUGACCAGUACUAUUUACAAAGCAUGAAUUCACUACAAUGCUCAACUGUUUAGCUUGAUCUCACUUGGGGAAUUUAUUCCUGUCUGCUGCACUGUAGGUAGCUGGGUAGGAUAUAUUUCCACUUGCUUUUUAAAUUAGUUCUUCACCUCCAUUGACACUUCGUUUUUUGGUUUUCUCCCUAUAGUAUGGGUUGGUGCUAGACACCAGUCUGUCAUAGCACCAUACUGACUCAACGGAAUGGGAGUUAUUUUAUCCAUCUUUCCUCCAUCCUUCCAAAAACCACACAUCUACAUGAGGAAAAGUUUAAUACAUCUAGGAAUUUUUUUUUAAUUAAAAGCUAUUUAAAGAGAUGAAUGUGGCCAAAGUUUUACACAAUUGAAAAUAAAGUAAAACAGACGGCAUGUGUUUAAACCUGAGUUUAUCAGGCAUGGCAGGAAGUUGCAGGAGAGAGAGGCAGUGACCCAAGCCAGUGCACUUGAUGUUCAUGGACAUAUAUUUUUUUUAAAUAAUAAAUUAAAACAUUUUAAAUAGAAGCAUAAAUUGAGUUGGUGGUUUGUUGGCGCUGAGAUACUGCCCACUGUGAAACAAAGCUUUGACUAGUUUUUUGUUUGUUUGUUUACUUUCUUCAGGGGGGAGGGGGGCAAGUUUGGGUAGGAAAGAAAGCAUAAAUGAACGUGACCCUGAGGUGAAGAGGUAUAUGAACAGCCUUUGCAAUGUACAAAAAGAAAAAAACAAAAAACAAAAAAAAAAUAGAGCAAGUGAAACCAAAAAUGAUGUUCUUGGUGUUUUUCUAUAAUGUAGUCUUGUUAGCUUUUUUGUUACUGUAACAAUGCUGAUCUCGAACUGUACCAAAAUACAUGGAGACUAACAAACAGAACCACAUGGAACUUUCAAACUGAAAAAAAAAAAUUUGUCACGAAAACUUUGUUGUCAUAGUUAAGUUGAUUGUAGAUGGUAAUUGAAUAUACUCCUUUGAAAAUAUUUCAUCAAGUAUGUUUCCUGCUCAUUGUGAUACAUUAAAAAAAAAUAUGAGCAAAA